rnacentral:rRNA from 1 species
AGUGAACGCUGGCGGUAGGCCUAGCACAUGCAAGUCGAACGGCGGCACAGUAAGAGCUUGCUCUUACGGGUGGCGAGUGGCGGGCGGGUGAGGAAUACAUCGGAAUCUACUUUUUCGUGGGGGAUAACGUAGGGAAACUUACGCUAAUACCGCAUACGACCUACGGGUGAAAGCAGGGGAUCUUCGGACCUUGCGCGAUUGAAUGAGCCGAUGUCGGAUUAGCUAGUUGGCGGGGUAAAGGCCCACCAAGGCGACGAUCCGUAGCUGGUCUGAGAGGAUGAUCAGCCACACUGGAACUGAGACACGGUCCAGACUCCUACGGGAGGCAGCAGUGGGGAAUAUUGGACAAUGGGCGCAAGCCUGAUCCAGCCAUACCGCGUGGGUGAAGAAGGCCUUCGGGUUGUAAAGCCCUUUUGUUGGGAAAGAAAAGCAGCAGGUUAAUACCCCGCUGUUCUGACGGUACCCAAAGAAUAAGCACCGGCUAACUUCGUG